CAGCGCCACAAGUGGGGACCACGUUUAUUGGGCCUAAAGCGUUCGUAGCUGGAUUAAUAAAUCUUCUGUGAAAUUGUUGUGCUUAACAUAACACAUUGCGAAAGACACUAUUAAUCUAGGGAUUGGGAGGAGCUAGAGGAAUUUAGGGGGAAGCGGUAAAAUGCUAUAAUCCUCUGAAGACCAUCUGUGGCGAAGGCGUCUAGCUAGAACAAAUCCGACAGUGAGGAACGAAAGCCAGGGGAGCGAACCGGAUUAGAGACCCGAGUAGUCC
rnacentral:rRNA from 1 species